GAACCAUAACUUCUUGGUUCAUGGGUUGAUGCUCAACCACUCAGCCACACCUGCUGGGCCAGCAUUGUGAUUUUUUUCUAUAUUCUUAGAUCCACUUAAUGUGAAAAUGGAACUUGAAUUGUUUUGAUUGAUUUUUUUAUUGUUUAAAGUAUUACAUAUGUCUCCUUUUCCCCCCAUCGACCCCUCCCCGAUCACUCUCACCCCCCUAAUUACAAGGAGGCAUGCUUUAAAAAUCAAUACCUGUUCCUUCUUCUCGGGAUUGGGAGUAUUUUCUGAAUUCAGACUACCACCAGAAGGUUGAGCCUCACCUUUUGAACAGAUCUUUAUGUCUGAGUCCUUUGGAAGUUUCUCAGAUAAAGGAUGAGGACUUGUCACAGAAUUUCAGUCUGGAUUCUUCUACACUUCUCAUCUCUCACAUACCUUCAAUGUUUUUUCUUCUUCACCAGGUCUUUGAGGAGCCUACAUUGAAUACUCUGAUGGGAGAAGGAAUUCAUUCACUUGUUGACCUCUUAGUUCAGUUGGCAAGGGACUUAAAAUUGAAGUUUUACAAUACUUAUGUCAUUACUACAGGGAUCACACAGUGCUUUUCAGAACUACUGAACACGUAUGCACAAUUGAUCGAGGUUGUUCCAGUGGUGACAGUGAAGCAUGGCCCUUCUGGUAGAACCAGGGCUGUGUACCCUGUUUCCGUACCGUCCUGAGCUGGUGGAACCAUUGCCUCUUGCUAAGAGGAGUUUGACUGGUUGUUCCAGUGGUGACAGUGAAGCAUGGCCCUUCUGGUAGAACCAGGGCUGUGUACCCUGUUUCCGUACCGUCCUGAGCUGGUGGAACCAUUGCCUCUUGCUAAGAGGAGUUUGACUGAAAACAACUUUGAGACCAUGUGGAUUCUGACAACAGAGGGGAAGUGACA